rnacentral:lncRNA from 1 species
CUCUCCUUUGUCUACCUUUUGACUGAAUCAACACAAGCUUGAACUAUGUGGAAGAGCUCAAAAACUGCUUAGUGAAUUCACACCCUACUUAGUGCUAGUUGAGAAGCUAGCAAAAUACUUGGAGAGGCCACCCUUUUUCUAACUCAACAGUUGGAAACAUGUAAGAGUUCACACCCUCAGAAACUGUGAUCUUUUGAUGAGUAUUCACCCCUCCAGAAGGUGCAAACUGGUUCCCACCAACACUACUCCCUAGGCAGUGCUAGACAAUUUGGAAGCUGUGAUUGGUCCCUGUGAAGAGAGGAGGAGACAAGAAGCCACUAUAAAAGGCCCUGAAUUUCUGAGGAUAGAGGAAGUAGACUCUACAAAGGAAGUCAGCUUCAAGGAGGAGUUGGACUUCAAGAAGGAAGUCAGCUUAAGGAAGGAGGUCUACUCAGAAAAGAAAGUUGGCCUCAGGAGUCACCUUCAAUUUAAGUCAUCAUCUUGGCCUGCCUCUUGGAGGAAACUUGGGUGAAUGGAUAGCUGGCUUUCCUUUCUUGUCUUCUGGAGAGAGUUUAAUUCUGGUUGAAGGUCAACAAGUCUUGGCUGAGGGAGUUCAUCUGGAGUUUUGUUUAAUGCCAAAAUACGAUGAAUGUUGGCUGUGGACAUCUUGUGAUUUUUCUCACAUGGAGGAAGACCUUCGGGAGCAAGGUAAUUGUCUUGGCCACCAGCUAAGAGAGGUAAUGAUAACACACUGAAAUUCUGUUCUGUGCCUGCCAGAAUGGCCAUAUGAACCACACAGGGCCAGUCUUUGCACACAACCUGCAACAUACUUCAUGUCACUUCAUUCAUUCAUUCAAUUAAUAUUUAUUGAGCAUCCCACAGGGUGUUUGGCAGAGAUUCAGCAUCUCCUAUAAA